UUUGGGCUUCAUGUUCUUUUUUCUCCAGGUCUAGAAUUCUUUUUUGGUUUCAUAUGCCUUAUUUGAUUUAAAAUUCUUAUCGUCGUCGUUGUCCGAUGAAGCCGCCUCCAACAUACAACCUGAAACGCCUUACGUUUCCAUUAUUUUGGUCCUUUAAUCCUAGCAUUAACAAGCUUCGUCCCACUACGCAACAUUAAUUCGAGCUCGGACUCUUCGUAUGUGGUUCAAAGCUCUCCUAUAAAUUGACAUCUCUGCAGUGAUGAAGACCGAUGUAUCUACGAAAACUACAAGUAUCAUCUCUGCUUAUUAUCACCUCCGACAAUGGCGAAUUCAUUCACCCUACUUGCUGAUCUGAAAGCAGGUCGAUGUUCAACCACAACAGCCGUAUAUUUUUUUUUGCUCUUUAUAUGAUGGAAAGCUGGCUCAGAAGGCGAGAGAAAAGGUCUUACAGGGUUUCAAUCAAAUCAAACAGAAAAUAGUUCUGCUUAUAUCUAAGAAAGCUGGAGGAGUUGGUCUGAAUAUGACUGCAGCUUCAAACGUCUUCUGAAUGGAUUCAUGGUGGACUCCGGCUAUAGAAGAGGAAGAAAUCAUGAGAAUCCAUCGCAUACAACAUAAAAGAAUUCUAGAGGGCUUGGUGAAAGAAACAUUGAAAUGGUGCAGAGAAAUCACAUGGAACAGCCUACUGCAAUUUAUGUGCUUAAAGCAGGACUGCACUCAGUGGUGAGAAUGACAGACUUCAAGGGCUAGGACGCCAUGAAGGAGACACUCCUAUUCUAUGGAACCGAAGAAGCUAUUGAAGAAUGUCUUACUGUAUGGGCUUGGAGGCAAUGCCACACUCUUAUUCUAUGUUAAGGUAUCUUGCUACUUUUCCAUGUGGAGCAGUCCCUUUCACUGCAGAAGAAGAGCGACCACCAGAUCUUUCAUGUGAUGGUGCUGCCAAAAAAUAUGAGUAUGUCCGUGUGUAAGUAUCUGCUGCUGGAACUGAGCUUUAAGGAAUUGUAAGACGUCAGUAAUAAGGCUGCAAGUUUUUCCACUGGGAUGAUGUGGCAGUAACAGAAUCAGGCUGAGAAUAAGUCAUCCAUCCAUCGUUGUUGCUGCAGUAGGAGGCCAAGUAAUAGAAACAAAGUUGCGGUCUCUGGAUGGAUUGUCAAAAAAAAAAACAGCAUCAGACCAUUCAUUGAUGGGGUCUUCAGUAAUUCUUUUCUGGGUCCACGACAUGAGCUGAACAGCUUCCAUCUCAUGUUUGUUCUGGUGAACAACGGGAGCUGUAGAUACGAACUGGUAGCCUUUGGAAGAGGAAUUCAAAUUUGCAGGGGCAUAACCACUUGAAAAAGAGGUAAACGACAUGGAAAAGUUUUGUGCAUGCAUAGGAGCAGGCAUGAUCUUGCCAUAUAGCCCUCCUUUAUAAGUGUGCUACCCUUUGAAUCUCGAUUAUCUCUUUUAACUUUGGCUUUUGAGAUUGUUGAGAGUGUAUCUGAAUAUUAGCUUGGCUUGAGACGCUUUUCACACUAACUUGCCGUUGCAGUUGCAUAUGCGGUUGGGGAGCAACUUGAUGAUGCAUUUGUCUCUCUUAAACAUUAUUCAUGCAAACUCUAUAAAACUUUGAUUUUUUUUUUAGUUA